GGGGCCUCCGUUUGCCAAAAAUAGGCCGUGGCCAAAACCGCGCCCAAAAAUAACCGCCCGACGGCCGGGGCGCCAAGUUCGUCCAGCGGGAAAACGCCACAAAAACGGGUGGGCUAUAGCCUUGGGGGGUGGGUCUGGCCCACUUCGUCCGCCGGACUCGGAAUGCCGCGAGACUUUACAAGGCGCCUCCGUGUUCCAAAAAUAGGCCGCGGGCAAAGCCGCGCCCAAAAAUAACUGCCCGAAGGAUGGGGCGUCAAGUUAGACCAGCGGAAAAAGGCCACAAAAACGGGUGGGCUAUAGCCUUGGGGGGUGGGGCUGGCCAACUUUGUCCGCCGGACUCGGAAUGCCGCGAGACUUUGCGAGGGACCUACGUAUGCCAAAAAUAGGCCGCGGACAUAGCCGCGCCCAAAAAUAACCGCCCGAAGGCUGGGGCGCCAAGUUUGUCCAGCGGAAAAAGCCCACAAAAAUGGGUGGGCUAUACCCUUGGGGGGUGGGGCUGGCCGACUUCGUCCGCCGGAUUCGGAAUGCCGCGAGACUUUUCGAGGGGCCUCCGUGUGCCAAAAAUAGGCCGCGGGCAAAGCCACGCCCAAAAAUAACCGCCCGACGGCCGGGGCGCCAAGUUCGUCUAGCGGAAAAAGGCCACAAAAAUGGGUGGGCUGUAGCCUUGGGGGGUGGGGCUGGCCCACUUCGUCCGCCGGACUCGGAAUGCC
rnacentral:lncRNA from 1 species